rnacentral:rRNA from 1 species
AUUGAACGCUGGCGGCAGGCCUAACACAUGCAAGUCGAACGAGUGGCGGACGGGUGAGUAAUGUCUGGGAAACUGCCUGAUGGAGGGGGAUAACUACUGGAAACGGUAGCUAAUACCGCAUACCAUCGGAUGUGCCCAGAUGGGAUUAGCUUGUUGGUGGGGUAACGGCUCACCAAGGCGCCGAUCCCUAGCUGGUCUGAGAGGAUGACCAGCCACCCGGGAACUGAGACACGGUCCAGACUCCUACGGGAGGCAGCAGUGGGGAAUAUUGCACAAUGGGCGAAAGCCUGAUGCAGCCAUGCCGCGUGUGUGAAGAAGGCCUUCGGGUUGUAAAGCACUUUCAGCGGGGAUGCGUUACCCGCAGAAGAAGCGCCGGCUAACUACGUGCCAGCAGCCGCGGUAAUAC